AAAUCAGGUAGGGCUACCCGCUGAACUUAAGCAUAUCAAUAAGCGGAGGAAAAGAAACUAACUAGGAUUCCCUUAGUAACGGCGAGUGAACCGGGAUGAGCUCAAAUUUAAAAUCUGGCGUCUUUCAGGCGUCCGAGUUGUAAUCUAUAGAGGCGUUUUCCGCGCCGGACCGCGUCCAAGUCUCUUGGAAUAGAGUAUCAAAGAGGGUGACAAUCCCGUACUUGACGCGACAACCGGUGCUCUGUGAUACGUUCUCAAUGAGUCGAGUUGUUUGGGAAUGCAGCUCUAAAUGGGUGGUAAAUUCCAUCUAAGGCNAAAUAUUGGCGAGAGGACCGAUAGCGAACAAGUACCGUGAGGGAAAGAUGAAAAGCACUUUGGAAGGAGGAGUUAAACGGCACGUGAAAUUGUUAANAGGGAAACGAUUGAAGUCAGUCGNGUGAAAGGUAUUCAGCCGUCUCUGGCGGUGUAUUUGCCUUUCACGGGUCAACAUCAGUUUGAUCCGGUAGAAAAAGGCGGGAGGAAGGUGGCACCCUCGGGUGUGUUAUAGCCUCCUGUCAUAUGUGCCGGAGCCAGACUGAGGAACGCAGCUUGCCGCAAGGCCGGGGUUCGC
rnacentral:rRNA from 1 species